rnacentral:rRNA from 1 species
UGCCAGCCGCCGCGGUAAUACGUAUGGUGCAAGCGUUAUCCGGAAUCACUGGGCGUAAAGCGCACGUAGGCGGAUUUUUAAGUCAGAUGUGAAAGUCCACGGCUCAACCGUGGAAGUGCAUUUGAAACUGGGGAGCUUGAGUAUUGGAGGGGGUGGUGGAAUUCCCGGUGUAGAGGUGAAAUUCGUAGAUAUCGGGAGGAAUACCGGUGGCGAAGGCGACCACCUGGCCAAAUACUGACGCUGAGGUGCGAAAGCGUGGGGAGCAAACAGGAUUAGAUA